CUGUGGAAUUGGUAAGACGAUCGGCUCAUGUCUUCGGAUGUGCCCCGAUAUGAACCUUCCCGUGCUUUUUAGAACAAGAUCGGAUCAGUCAGAUCACGAUCGCAACGUAAUACGCCGCGUAGACUUCGGUCACGACGGUAUGGCGAGCUGCGCCGUCCACGUUUCUCUUUCUUCAAGAAGACAAAGAACCGCGUCGAUCCGGAUAGUUUUUACUGUCUGGACCGGUUUGACGAGAAUGGGCCCGUAGCUCAGUUGGUUAGAGCACACGCUUGAUAAGCGUGGGGUCGGAAGUUCAAGUCUUCCCGGGCCCACCAGCCUUCGCCCUUAUGGGCUAUGGCUUGGCGAGCCGGGAAAAGACGGUGACGCGGAAGUUGCCGAACCCUGGUUUAAGAUCGGGGCGAUCGAGCUGAUGGGGCUGUAGCUCAGCUGGGAGAGCACCUGCUUUGCAAGCAGGGGGUCAGCGGUUCGAUCCCGCUCAGCUCCACCAAAUCGAUUGGUGUCGAGACUGACGGCAUGUUGUCUUUUGAAGAAGUAAAGGUUUUGCAUCGGCUUUAGAGCCUGAUGCCUGUUCUGCAUACAUUGUGAAGAGAAGAUUGAUCUGGAGGCUUCCAGGUGUUUUGGGUUUUGGCCCGAAACGUCCGAGCCCAGUUCUGAUGAUCCCUUGGAUGGCCUAGCCGGCCGGAUAUGGGUGAAGGACUGGAGGUAGGAAGGAAGCUUGUCGCUCUGGGUCGUUGUUGUUUGCGGUCCUUCUGGGCUGCAUCUGACGGACGACUUGAUUGACGUUGCCUGACCGCGCGUCACCGGAUUUAAUCUCGAGAAGCUGGUCUUAAGAUAGACUGCAAGCGGGCUGCUCGGCGUAGCUCCAAUAAAGCAGAUCUAUCGAACACGUCGAUGGCAUUGUUAGAAAGCGUGAUUGUAAAAGGUAAUCACGCAUUGUUGGUCUGGUAGCUGAGAGGCUUCCGGACUUUGACUGGUUCGACAUACUGAGAAGUAUCUGGCUGGUCAGAUUUGGAACCCCUUCGAGCGCAAGCGAGGAGGAUAGGAAUUCCAAAUCCAACAAAGACGAUGAGCAUUGGCAAUGAGAACGAUCAAGUGUCGUAAGGGUAUUUAGUGGAUGCCUAGGCAUGCACAGGCGAUGAAGGACGUGAUACGCUGCGAAAA
rnacentral:tRNA from 1 species